GUAGUCCACGCCGUAAACGAUGGAUACUAGCUGUUCGGGGCAACCUGAGUGGCUAAGCGAAAGUGAUAAGUAUCCCACCUGGGGAGUACGUUCGCAAGAAUGAAACUCAAAGGAAUUGACGGGGGCCCGCACAAGCGGUGGAGCAUGUGGUUUAAUUCGAUGAUACGCGAGGAACCUUACCAAGGCUUAAAUGUAGUCUGACAGGACCGGAAACGGUUUUUUCUUCGGACAGAUUACAAGGUGCUGCAUGGUUGUCGUCAGCUCGUGCCGUGAGGUGUCAGGUUAAGUCCUAUAACGAGCGCAACCCCUGUCGUUAGUUGCCAGCGAGUCAUGUCGGGAACUCUAACGAGACUGCCAGUGCAAACUGAGA
rnacentral:rRNA from 1 species